UGACAGUUGGUUAUUGUUUUUGAUACUAGGAAAUAUAGAGGAAGUUAAUUGAAAGUGUAUUGAUGACAAAUGAUUUAGAUAAUGUAGGGAUAUAUGGUUUAGCGUAUCCUCCACCUAUUUAGGAAGAGCUGCAGUGGCAAGAGGAAUUUGCGUGAAAUUGAAGAAAGGGCUGAAGAAAACAGCUUUGGAUUGCAUCCACUCCAGCCCAGAGGAGAUCAUUGCUUUAGGACAACGAGCUCAGCUGGGACCAAAGGAGGUGACACAGGUUUGCUGUGGCUUUCAGGUAAUGGAUGACCUUUUGCUCAAUUACACCACAAGCUUCACGUGGGCUCUUUCAUCCUCUACUUAUUAUGGACCACAUGAAAAAACUCCUUUAGAUUCAAA
rnacentral:lncRNA from 1 species